AGAGAGCCAUACAGGAAAGGGGGUAACGGACCGUCCUGGCCCCGAGUCAUGCGUGGGCGACCGUGAGGGCGCCGGCGAAGCGUUGACAGGGGAACGCGCAGGCGAGGUAUUGAGCCGCGAAAUCAGGCUGAACCAGUGUGCCGACGCCGUCUGAGUAGGCGGAAGGCGAAACCGGAGGGGGCAUUAGCGUGAGUCCUCAUCUGGACGGGCGCGGUCGGAGACCC
rfam:Freshwater sediment metagenome lwMethane_BCGO27275_y1, whole genome shotgun sequence.